GAAUGUAGCUCAGUGCUAGAGCGGCUGCUUGGCAUGCAUGAGGUCCUAGGUUCCAUCCCCAGCAUCA
rnacentral:tRNA from 1 species